rnacentral:rRNA from 1 species
UACGGAGGGUGCAAGCGUUAUCCGGAUUCACUGGGUUUAAAGGGUGCGUAGGUGGGUUGGUAAGUCAGUGGUGAAAUCUCCGUGCUUAACAUGGAAACUGCCAUUGAUACUACUGAUCUUGAAUUUUCUGGAGGUAAGCGGAAUAUGUCAUGUAGCGGUGAAAUGCUUAGAUAUGACAUAGAACACCAAUGGCGAAGGCAGCUUGCUACAGGGAUAUUGACACUGAGGCACGAAAGCGUGGGGAUCAAACAGG